GACGAACGCUGGCGGCGUGCCUAAUGCAUGCAAGUCGCACGCGGCACCUUCGGGUGCUGAGUGGCGACCGGCUGAGGAACACGUGGGGACCCGUGCGGAAGUGGUGCAUAACACCGCGAAAGCUGUUCUAAUCCCGCAUACUCACUGCGGAGGAAAUCCUAAAGGCGCUCCCGGGUGGCCCUGCGGCCCAUCUGGGUGUUGGUGGCGUAACGGCCUCCCAAGCCUAUGACGUGUCGCUGGUCUGUGAGGACGACCAGCCAGACUGGGACGGGGACACGGCUCAGACUCCUACGAGAGGCAGCAAACAGGAAUGUGCGGCACUGGGCGCGAGGCUGAAAGGGCAAGGCCGGGUGCAGGAAGACGGCGUUCGGAAUGUAAACUGCUUUUGCUAGGGAUGAUCAGAGAGAGUACCUGGAGAAUCCGCCGCCGAAAACUCUG
rnacentral:rRNA from 1 species